rfam:Triticum aestivum genome assembly, contig: Triticum_aestivum_CS42_TGACv1_scaffold_580442_7BL
CCGAUACUCCCUCCGUCCGAAAAUACGUGUCGCUAAAAUGAAUACAAAUGGAUGUAUCUAAAACUAAAAUACCUCUAGAUACAUCCAUUCCUCGGACAAGUAUUUCCGGACGGAGGGAGUACAAA